AAAUGAUCACUCUGGAGCACCGUCUACAUGGAGACCAGAAUGACAACAAUCAAGUGAGCCUUUCGGCGAACACCUGUAGACGCUCUCAGUCAGAGGCUGGGAAGACCGAAGCGCUUACCUGACUCAUUCCUGUACUUCUAUCCCAACAAACCGUGACGCAUGGAGAUGUUAAAGCUGUCAACUUUUCUUGGUAAAUGUUUCUACCCAGGAAGACAGUAUUUCGCCCACCGUGAAGCCUUCUAAGCACGUUCCUCCGAAGCAGCAAGAAGCGGCCGUCCAUCAUAAAAGAAACACCAAGUUUGGAGAGUGACAGUGGGAGGAGCCGCCAGCAAACUCACAGUUCUGUCCACUGAAAGCCCUGAAAGUAAUAAGACCCCAGCCACAAUGAACACACCAGCAUCCAGGUUCGGUUCCUAAAUACCAUUCGCCUCUAAAAGGAAUCAAGGCUUUUUGGGGAAAGGGAUGAAUCCGUGUCUGGAAAUGGAAAAUAUAAGCUAAACCUAUGACGUUUCGGUGCAAGAAAGCAAGAAGUGCCCAAAGACUAAAAGGGACACGUUCAAAGGACAUGAAAGGCAGCCUGAAAGGGGUCAUACUGGCCAAAUUUGGGAUAAUUUAAGCAUGAAAACAAUGACUGUAAUUGAUUAUAAAACACUGACUAAAUAAAAACCUGAGUCCACAAUGAUAUUCAUAGAGAUUUA